rnacentral:rRNA from 1 species
CCUACGGGAGGCAGCAGUAGGGAAUCUUCCACAAUGGGCGAAAGCCUGAUGCAGCAACGCCGCGUGGGUGAAGAAGGUCUUCGGAUCGUAAAACACUGUUAUUGGAGAAGAAAGUGCUUGAGAUUAACUGUUCACGUUUCGACGUUAUCUAACCAAGAAGCCACGGCUAACUACGUGCCAGCAGCCGCGGUAAUACGGAGGGUGCAAGCGUUAUCCGGAUUUAUUGGGCGUAAAGGGCACGCAGGCGGUCUUUUAAGUCUGAUGUGAAAGCCUCGGGCUUAACCGGAGUAGUGCAUCGGAAACUGGGAGACUUGAGUGUAGAAGAGGAGAGUGGAACUCCAUGUGUAGCGGUGAAAUGCGUAGAUAUAUGGAAGAAUACCAGUGGCGAAGGCGGCCCUCUGGUCUGUAACUGACGCUGAGGUGCGAAAGCGUGGGUAGCAAACAGGAUUAGAUACCCCGGUAGUC